CCUACGGGUGGCAGCAGUGAGGAAUAUUGGUCAAUGGACGCAAGUCUGAACCAGCCAUGCCGCGUGCAGGAAGACGGCUCUAUGAGUUGUAAACUGCUUUUUUACGGGGGUAAAAGCUGAUACGCGCAUCUGUCUGAAAGUAUCCUACGAAUAAGGAUCGGCUAACUCCGUGCCAGCAGCCGCGGUAAUACGGAGGAUUCAAGCGUUAUCCGGAUUUAUUGGGUUUAAAGGGUGCGUAGGCGGUCGGAUAAGGUAGUGGUGAAAGCCCGAGGCUCAACUUCGGCAUUGCCUCUGAUACUGUUCGGCUAGAGAGUAGGUGCGGUAGGCGGAAUGUAUGGUGUAGCGGUGAAAUGCGUAGAGAUCAUACAGAACACCGGUUGCGAAGGCAGAUUGCCGGGCUACUUCUGACGUUGAGGCACGAAAGCGUGGGGAGCAAACAGGAUUAGAUACCCGAGUAGUC
rnacentral:rRNA from 1 species